ensembl:snRNA U6 U6 spliceosomal RNA
GUGCUUGCUUCGGCAGCACAUAUACUAAAAUUGGAACGAUACGAGGAAGAGUAACAUGACCCCUGUGCAAGGAUGGCACGCAAAUUCAUGAAGCGUUCCCUAUUUUU